rnacentral:rRNA from 1 species
GUGCCAGCCGCCGCGGUAAUACGUAGGGGGCAAGCGUUGUCCGGAUUUACUGGGUGUAAAGGGCGCGCAGGCGGAUUGAUAAGUCAGAGGUGAAAUCCUGCAGCUCAACUGCAGAACUGCCUUUGAUACUGCCAAUCUUGAGUACGGAAGAGAGAGACGGAAUUCCAGGUGUAGUGGUGAAAUACGUAGAUAUCUGGAAGAACACCAGUUGCGAAGGCGGUCUCUUGGUCCGUUACUGACGCUCAGGCGCGAAAGCGUGGGUAGCAAACAGGAUUAGAAACCCUCGUAGUCC